GUCCAUCCAAGACAUAAACCGAUCAGUUUGGGUCGAUAUUCUACAUAUUUCUUGUUUUAUAUUGUUGUUUGGAUAAGAUGUCAACCUUAAACAAUCUAACUAAAGGCUUACCUCCAAAGCUCAUCGAAAGUUGUACUUUUGGUGCUAGAAAUUUCUAUGAUGACCUGUAAACCUACUCAACAUCUAAUUAUAAAGUUUACAAGUAAAAAUAGGUAUAGAUCAAUCAGAUCUACAAAUACAUAAAUUUUUUCAGAAUGAACGGUCUAGAUAAUGUAUUAAGAUGUAUUAUUUUUGGAACUUUAAAAUAUUAUUUUUCAUAUCCACACAUCUCGAUGUCCAAAUGAUCAAUUUGAGGGUUUUUUUGCAUUGGAACA
rnacentral:lncRNA from 1 species